CGUAGGCGGUUUGUUAAGUCGGAUGUGAAAGCCCCGGGCUCAACCUGGGAAUUGCACCCGAUACUGGCCGACUGGAGUGCGAGAGAGGGAGGUAGAAUUCCACGUGUAGCGGUGAAAUGCGUAGAUAUGUGGAGGAAUACCGGUGGCGAAGGCGGCCCCCUGGCUCGACACUGACGCUGAGGUGCGAAAGCGUGGGGAGCAAACA
rnacentral:rRNA from 1 species